rnacentral:rRNA from 1 species
AUUGAACGCUGGCGGCAUGCCUUACACAUGCAAGUCGAACGGUAACGGGCCUUCGGGUGCCGACGAGUGGCGAACGGGUGAGUAAUACAUCGGAACGUGCCCGAUCGUGGGGGAUAACGAGGCGAAAGCUUUGCUAAUACCGCAUACGAUCUACGGAUGAAAGCAGGGGACCGCAAGGCCUUGCGCGGACGGAGCGGCCGCUGGCAGAUUAGGUAGUUGGUGGGAUAAAAGCUUACCAAGCCGACGAUCUGUAGCUGGGCUGAGAGGAUGAGCAGCCACACUGGGACUGAGACACGGCCCAGACUCCUACGGGAGGCAGCAGUGGGGAAUUUUGGACAAUGGGCGCAAGCCUGAUCCAGCCAUGCCGCGUGCAGGAUGAAGGCCUUCGGGUUGUAAACUGCUUCUGUACGGAACGAAAAGCCUUCUUUUAAUACAGGAGGGUCAUGACGGUACCGUAAGAAUAAGCACCGGCUAACUACGUG